CGUUUCACAAAGGGGCGCCGUAACCGGCUGAGAUUGAACCUAGAUUCUGACCCUUCGAACCUGUUCGUUAGCACGAGCGUAGGGAUUGUGAUUGAGAAAUGA
rnacentral:ncRNA from 2 species